rnacentral:rRNA from 1 species
GACGAACGCUGGCGGCGUGCUUAACACAUGCAAGUCACGGGGGUCCCGCAAGGGAUAACCGGCGAACGGGUGCGUAACACGUGAACAACCUGCCCUCGUGUGGGGGAUAGCCAUGCUAACGCGUGGGUAAUACCGCAUACGUUCUCUUUGGGGAGUCCCGAGGAGAGGAAAGCUCCGGCGCACGGGGAGGGGUUCGCGGCCUAUCAGCUAGUUGGCGGGGUAAUGGCCCACCAAGGCGACGACGGGUAGCUGGUCUGAGAGGGCGACCGGCCACACUGGGACUGAGACACGGCCCAGACUCCUACGGGAGGCAGCAGUGGGGAAUAUUGCACAAUGGGCGAAAGCCUGAUGCAGCGACGCCGCGUGAGGGAUGACGGCC